AAGGAGGACUGAGUCUGAAAAGAACAUUAUGCCCAUUGCAUCCAAAAUAUUUAUGCUUGCUGCUUUGCUCUGUUGCGCAGGCUCAUCCACUGAUGAAACUUUCAGGCCUAUAUUGACUAGUCGCUUAAACAACUCAUCUCUCACAUUGAAUUGUUCAGUGAACUGUUCCUACGCAAAAAUUAUUUGGAAUAUAGGAAAUUCUAGAUCUAAUCGUAACAAUAUCUACAAUAUCAAUGGAAUUCAAAAUUUUAUUCAAACAAAUACUACUAAUCGGCGUUGCACCAUGGAUAAUACAACACCACAAAUAUUUGAGCUAAUAAUUGACAUUUCGAUUCCAAACAUAAGUUCAAUUUUGCCAAGUAUCACUUGUGUAGGUGUGCUAGGAAGGGACGACAAUUUUGUCUUCAGUGCAAAUACUGUUAAUCUAGCGAUAUUACUCACUGAAAAAACAAGUGUGAACCAAAGUGAAACAUCUUGGCCUAUAUUGACGUUGUGUUUUUCACAAGUUUCAGGAAGAGGAGAGUGGGUGCCUAAUCCUGCUGACCUACUUUGUGAAGAAGGUGUCUUAUACAAGAUAGCUUCUGACAUGACAUUAUAUAAUAAUUG